GUUUUCUCAGGAGUCGUGUGACGCUGACGUCACGCGUGAGUUCGGGGUAUAUUGUUUGGAAUAAUUGACCUGAAAACAAAUUGACUGAGCUGCAGAAAUGCUGCGUUUUCUCUGCUGUUGUUGCUUUUCCUCGGGGGAAAACUCUAACGAGACGCAGCCUCUCCUGCAACCCCGACCAUCUGAAGUGAGUGGAUCAGCCAGGCAGACCCGUCCAGCACACAGUGAUGCAUGGACUGUGAAACGGAUUGGUAGGCUGGUGAUGAGACGAGUGUGCGUGCCAGAGUUGGAUCAGCGGUUUUCCGACAUGGCCGAGACCUUCAAUGAGCAGCAGCAGCGGUAUGAGGCUAUGGUCAAGCACAUCAGAAACCUGCAAAGGAGCUGUGACUGUACUAAUAAUGACAGCCUUGCACUAGCUGAAUGUGUGGGGAAGAUCAGAAAAGAGCAUGAGUCAAAGUGUAGGGUCUCUCUUAAGAUGAAAGGCUAUGACUUCUCCCUCAGUGUGGUUGAGGGUGAAAGCCUGGGUAAGUCACUUCCUUCACGUCUGCAGCUGGCCCAGCAUGAAGUGAAGGACAUUUCUGAGAACGCCAGGGCCACCAUCUCAAAGGGUACCACACUUCAAGAGCUUAUUGGCUGGCUGCUCCGUAGCCAGGACCAAAUGGCUGACCAGGUAAAGGGGGCGGCAGAAACUUACCAAGAGCAAGGAAGACUGAAUGAGAACCUGGAGGAGAACAUGAGGGAAGUGAAGAGGGCAAAGGAGCUGUCACAGGGGUACAGGCAACAGGCCGGGGAAGUUCUCACAGAGGCUGCACAGAUAGCAGGGGCGCAUGUUUAGUUCAUUUAUAGACUUUGACCAAUAAUGUUAGAGGCACAGGAUUCAUCAUGUACAUAAAGUAGAUACACAUUAUAGGCAAAAGGAGGCUGAUAAUUAACUUACAUGGAACAUGUCCAGUACCAGUCUCUACCCACCCACUGUGUGAAUUUGUACAGAAGUGCCAAAGUCUUCUCCAUUCACAUCUGCAGCAACUACACUACACAACAUUUACACUGCACAAUUAAGCUAGAAGAUAGAAUAGAAUGUCUUUUAAUUGUCACUAUACACAAGUACAAUAAGAUUAAAGUGUCAUCCAGUUUCAGUGCAAAAAACAAGAAAUAUAAAAUUUAUUAAAAAAGAGAUAUAAAAAAGAUAUUAAGAAAAAUAUUUACAAAAUAAACAUAGAAGUUAGUGCACAGUCCUGAGAAUAUAAAUAUGGUGUAUAUGCGGAAUUUAAAGUAUGGAAGAAAGGAAAAUAUUGCACAUGUUAUAUGUUGUGAAUAUAAAAUAUUGCACAUGUUGUGUAUUGUCCAUCUGAAUAUGUAAUAUAUUAUUGCACAUUAAAUCAGUGAGUGUGAGAGUUCAGGGUGGGUACAGCUUUUGGAAAGAAGCUGUUUUUGAAUCUGUUUGUCUUUGUCGUGAUGCACCUGUAGCGCCUCCCAGAGGGUAGCAGGGCAAACAGACCAGUGGUGGGAGAGUUACUGGAGUGGGAACUGUCCUUGAUCAUGUUUUUGGCUCUGUUGAGGCAGUGGGAGGUGUAAAUGUCCAUUAGGAAGGGAAGAGGGCAGCCGAUGAUCUUCUGUGCUGUCCUUACAUCUCUCCCUAACCUCUCCCUGUCUGCUACAGUGCAGCUGCCGUAGCAAGAUCAACUACUGCAGGGUGUUCCAGAUACAAUUUGUAUGUGUGGAUUCCACUAUACACUACAACUGAUGUUCUGUCAGCUAGGUUUUUUAAAAAAAAUAAAAAAAUAGCUGAUUGAACAUCAGUUUUAGUUGAUUAAAUAAAUGUGAAUAUUUGAAUAUCUACUAGUCUUUUGUGUACUGUAGAAAUUCAGAAUUGUAACAGUUAAUUAUUUGCCAAUAAAAGAAUGCAAUAUAAAUAGGUUAAUGUGACUAAUAGUAGCCUAGUAUUUCCACAUUGAUCAAUAAACAUUGCAGAGACUAAUUCUUUACAUUGUUUGAGUAGUCAUGUCAUCUUAGUAGCUAACACAAGGGGGCAUUGUAGACUCACUUUACUCUUUAACAGGCU
ensembl:lncRNA